rnacentral:misc_RNA from 1 species
CAGAAUUAAAGGUUUUGAUCAUUCACUAUCAAUCAAAUCCUUCUUGGAAUUCAUUAGCCAAAACAUGUAUUGAAGUGCAGUUUAAAAUCUAAAUACGUGCAGCCAUGGUAUAAGAUUUCCUUCUUUUUGUUGAGUGCACUUCUUUAGCAGCUGUGUUCUGCAUGUUUAUGGUCUGACUUAGGCUUCAGCCUUCUCUUCUCAGCUUACAAGUCUUGCUGCAUGGCCAACCUUUCAAUUGUCUAAUUUCUAUAGGAAAGAAAGCACAAUAGAAUAUAAGAAACAUAAAUCAAUUUUUAUGUCACUUUUCACGGAAAUCUAAGCUACUCAUUUCCCUUCCAAUUCUACAAAGUGUAAGUUUAAUCUCUUCAAAAUCUGUGUGGGAUUGAUCUCCAGCAAGAAAUAAAUGAACAUUAUCCUUCAUUAUAAUCCAGCUACAACCUGGACUCUUCUUUAUUCCCUUGGAUUUUUUUGCCAUUCUCACCCGGUCUCCAUCCUUCUUUUUUCCAGCAAUAUUAUACAAUUCAGACAAUACAACAUAUGGGAUUGCACUAUUAGGUUCCAAUUUCCUAAGGUGUUGAGCAGCGAGCUUUGCCAGGUCAAGACGAAAGUGCACCCUGCUAGCACCUAGAAGAGCUCCCCAAACCCCAGCAUGGGGCUCAAAAGGCAUUGAGUGGAUUAAAUUAAUUGCUUCAUCCAGCAAUCCUGCUCGGCCCAGGAGAUCAACCAUGCAUACAUAGUGAUCUAGCGAUGGUUCCAUAUUGUAGACGUAUUUCAUCAAAUUAAAAUAUUUCCAUCCUUCUUCUACUAAUCCUACAUGAGUACAGGCUGACAGAAUACCAAGAAACGUGAUUUCAUUAGGUUCCCAACUUUCUUUCUCCAUUUUGCUAAAUAACUGCAGAGCUUGUUCACCGCGCCCAUUUUGGCUAAACCCAGUAAUCAUCGAGUUGAAAGAAAUGAGAUUGGGUGCAUUAAUACUUGUAAAGACCUGGUACGCUUCAGCGACAUUUCCACACUUUGAGUACAUUGAAACUAGUGAAUUCUGAACAAACAAGUCAAAUUGCAUAUCCAUCUUCAAUGCAUGGGCAUGGAUCUGCAAGCCUUGGUUAAGUGUUGCCAAACCAGCUGAAGCGCUAAGCAGACUACUUAAAGUCAGUGAAUUUGGCUUGACAGCUUCUUUGAGCAUCUCAAUAAACCAAUGAAAAGCCUCCUCAUAGUCCCUAUUAUUCACAAAACCUGAAAUCACUGCAGUCCAAGCAACAUCAUCUUUCUCAGGCAUCAUUUUAAACAACUGGAUGGCUUUCUGAACCUUCCCUAUGGCAGAAAAUCCCGAAAUCACAGUCGUCCAUGAAACCACAUCUUUUCCUGGCAUCUCCUCGAAUAGUCUAUAAGCUUCUUCAAUUUCAUCACGUUGAAUAUAACCAGCAAUUAAUGAAUUCCAAGAAACCACAUCUUUCUUGUUCAUCAUCUGAAAUAUUCUAUUUGCUUCAAACAUGUAGCCAAACCUACAAUACAUUGUGAUGAUGGAAUUUCCCAAAAAGAUGUCAAACCCAAAUCCCAUGUGCAAAACCAAACCAUGCACCUGCGUUCCCUCUCUGUAUCUUCCAAAACGACCGCAAGCUUCAAACAUUAUAGUCAAGGUCGUAGGAUUAACUGCUACAGCUCCUUCUCUUCUCAGACUCAAAAACAAACUCCACCCUUCUUCAAAACACCCCACGUUCAUAUACCCAUCAAUCAUAGCUGUCCAAGCAACCACAUUUCUCAACGGCAUACUAUCAAGCAAUCCUCUAGCCUCAACAAUCCUUCCCUUCUUGCAAUAUCCAUCAACCAUAGAGCUCCAAGAAACAACGUCUCUUUCAACCAUACCCUCAAAAACUCGAGUUGCCUCUUCCAAUCUCCCGGCUUUCAAGAACCCAUUUAUCAUUGCAUUGGAACAAACCGGAUCCCGCCACUUAAAUGGCAUCUCGCCAUACAACUUAUCUGCCUCAUCAAAAAUCCCCGCCAGGAGAAAUCCAGUGAUCAUGGCCCCAUAUGAUACCGCAUUCCUCUCAUUCAUCCGAGAAAACAAACUGAAGGCCUCGUCUACCAUACAAUUGUUCUUUAUGUACGCGGUAAUCAUAGCAUUAUAUGAAGCUGCGGUUCGCUCGGGCAUUUCGUCAAACAAUUGCCGUGCUUUUGCAAUUUGGCCAUUCUUGGCAUAUACAGUUAGCAUGGAAGUAUGAGAUAUUAUGUUCUUGUGCGGCAUGCGGUUGAAUAUUGACUCGGAUUCUUCAAUAUUGCCGUUCAUACCAUAUUUCAUGAUGAGGGAAUUGCAAUAAACAACAAAUUUGUCACCUUUUCUACUUUUCUGAAUGCGUUUCAAGGGAGCUUGAAGUGAGAAAUUGGAAUAAUGACGAGCUAAGAACGACGACUUAUGGUGAGAAAGAUGUUGGCAGAAACGAGAGUUGCUUCUUGUUACUAGCAUUGUUGAUGCGUAGGACAGCAAGACCUUGCUUCUCUAUUUGGUCUCCCACUGGUCAUUCUGUCCCGUUGGAAUCUAUGACCAGACCACAUUCACGCCGCUAGGCGAUGGCGCCACCACCACCACCCUCCUACACCAGUUCCAUAAGCUCUAUAACCUAUGUUCGAAUAUGAAGAGAAGAGAAAUUUAUUCUUCCUACUUCCUG